CGUGUAGGCGGUCGGUUAAGUCUGAUGUGAAAGCCCGAGGCUCAGCUUCGGAAGUGCAUCGGAAACUAGCUGGCUGGAGCGCGAUAGAGGAGGGUGGAAUUCCUGGUGUAGCGGUGAAAUGCGUAGAUAUCAGGAGGAACACCGGCGGCGAAGGCGGCCCUCUGGAUCGUUGCUGACGCUGAGACGCGAAAGCGUGGGGAGCAAACAGGAUUAGAUACCCUGGUAGUCCACGCUGUAAACUAUGGGUACUAGGUGUUCGGGGUAUUGGACCCCCUGAGUGCCGCAGUUAACGGCAUUAAGUACCCGCCUGGGGACUACGGCCGCAAGGUUAA
rnacentral:rRNA from 1 species